UAUGUGGAUGCUUGUGUCCCUAGUU
rnacentral:piRNA from 1 species